UACAGAGGGUGCGAGCGUUAAUCGGAAUUACUGGGCGUAAAGCGCACGUAGGUGGCGACGUAAGUCGGGUGUGAAAGCCCCGGGCUCAACCUGGGAAUUGCAUUCGAGACUGCAUUGCUGGAGUACGGAAGAGGAAGGCGGAAUUCCCGGUGUAGCGGUGAAAUUCGUAGAUAUCGGGAGGAACACCGGUGGCGAAGGCGGCGAUCUGGGAAGAUACUGACGCUGAGGUGCGAAAGCGUGGGGAGCAAACAGG
rnacentral:rRNA from 1 species